CCAGGGCCCAACCCAACUGAGCUCAUUCGGGGGCUAUGUUUCGAGAAUGUCGGUCCUAAAUUCUCGUCUUCGAAACUAAAAAACGUAUUUUAUUUUUGUUUUUUUUUUCUGUUUUUUGUUUGUGCCUAAAUUUUGUGUAAUUUUUUUGGCUAAAUUUUCGUGUCAUGUUUGGAAAAAAAGAGUGAUAUUUUUGGAAUGUGGAGUCGCGGAAGUGGAAUACUUGAAUUCGUAGAGUCUAUGUGUCACGGUCGCCAUGUGUACAACUAAUGAAUGGGAGGACUCUGUGGUCACUCUGGUCAUCUGAUCAGAGACCAUCCUCGCUGUCAUCCUCUUUCUGAAGUCCCUGUGAGUGUUCUAGAGUCUUUGUGUCACGGUCGCCAUGUGUACAACUAAUGGAUGGGAGGACUCUCUGUUGCCUCUGGUCUUCUGAUGAAGGAUCAGAGUCUAGAACCUAUUUCCAUCCUCGCUGUCGUCUCCUCUUCCUGAAGUUCCUCUUUGUCUCAAAAAAACGUCGUUUGGUGCCGAAGUUGUUACCUGUUACCUGUAUUUUGGAAUACAAGAAACUGGCGAUUUGCCGAAUAACUCUUACAAGGACAUUUAGGCUCGAUUCCUGCAGCUGGGAGGUACAGGAUUGCCACAAAGUGUCCUUGAUGGUGAAGGCGUACAUAUGGAGGUUCCACUUGAAGAUGCCUGAUACUUGGCUUCUCCGUGAAGCUGAUGACUUUUUUUCGCCAUGAAAAAUAAAAACCAAAAAAAAAAUUCAUUUUUUUUAUUAUAAAAAAUAUAUAUCUCUCGAUAUUUGUUUAAAAGAAAAUAUCGCGAGCUAUUUUUGGUAGUGGCCCAAAAAAGUAUGCUAUGAUUUUCUUGCAACCUACAUUUCGCAAAGACCCAAAAAAGUA